rnacentral:misc_RNA from 1 species
AAAAUACGAAAAGUAAUAUGAAUUGCAGAAACGAAUCAUCGAAUCUUUGAACGCACAUUGCGCCCCUUGGUAUUCCAUGGGGCAUGCCUGUUCGAGCGUCAUCUACACCCUCAAGCUCUGCUUGGUGUUGGGCGUCUUUGUCCCGCCUCCGCGCGCGGACUCGCCCCAAAUUCAUUGGCAGCGGUCCUUGCCUCCUCUCGCGCAGCACAUUGCGCUUCUCGAGGUGUUGCGGCCCGCGUCCAGAAAGCAAUCGUUACCGUCUUUGACCUCGGAUCAGGUAGGGAUACCCGCUGAACUUAAGC